rnacentral:rRNA from 1 species
CUCUACUAUAGCUUCACAUUGGUAUUGGGAGAAUGAUGUGUAGGAUAGGUGGGAGGCGUUGAUCCUGGGCCGCUAGGUUUAGGGGAGCCAACGGUGAAAUACCACCCUUUAUUUUCUUGAUGCCUACCCCGCAGUAGCGGGGGACAUUGUGUGGUGGGUAGUUUGACUGGGGUGGUCGCCUCCGAAAGUGUAUCGGAGGCUUUCAAAGGUACCCUCAGCACGGUUGGUAAUCGUGCGUGGAGUGCAAUAGCAUAAGGGUGCUUGACUGUGAGACCGACGGGUCGAGCAGGGACGAAAGUUGGAUAUAGUGAUCCGGUGGUUCUGCAUGGAAGGGCCAUCGCUCAAAGGAUAAAAGGUA